GUGGUGGCUCAGUGGCAGAGAAUCUGCUUGGCACGCGGAAGGUCCCAGGUUCAAUCCUUGACAUCUGUA
rnacentral:tRNA from 1 species